UACGGAGGGUGCAAGCGUUAUCCGGAUUUACUGGGUUUAAAGGGUGUGUAGGCGGGCUAUUAAGUCAGUGGUGAAAUCUCCGGGCUCAACCUGGAAACUGCCAUUGAUACUAUUAGUCUUGAAUUCUGUUGAGGUGGGCGGAAUAAGUCAUGUAGCGGUGAAAUGCAUAGAUAUGACUUAGAACACCAAUUGCGAAGGCAGCUCGCUAAACAGAUAUUGACGCUGAGGCACGAAAGCGUGGGGAUCAAACAGG
rnacentral:rRNA from 1 species